rnacentral:rRNA from 1 species
GGGUUCGAUUCCGGAGAGGGAGCCUGAGAAACGGCUACCACAUCCACGGAAGGCAGCAGGCGCGCAAAUUACCCACUCCCGGCACGGGGAGGUAGUGACGAAAAAUAACGAUACGGGACUCUUAAGAGGCCUCGUGAUCGGAAUGAUUACACUUUAAAUCCUUUAGAGAGGAUCCAUUGGAGGGCAAGUCUGGUGCCAGCAGCCGCGGUAAUUCCAGCUCCAAUAGCAUAUACUAAAGUUGUUGCGGUUAAAAAGCUCGUAGUUGAAAUUGUGUCCUGCGGCGUCGGUCCGCCUUUGCGGCGCGACAGACGCGUCUGCGGGGCUUCUCGCCGGUGUGUUUUUAUCGGUACUCGUAUCGAUGAAUCCUCGCGGCUGUUUACUUUGAACAAAUUAGAGUGCUCAAAGCGGGCUGAUUUUCGCCUGAAUAUUGUGCGCAUGGAAUAAUAGAAUAGGACCUCGGUUCAAUUUUGUUGCUUUCGGAUACCAG